rnacentral:rRNA from 1 species
CCUACGGGUGGCAGCAGUGGGGAAUAUUGCACAAUGGGGGAAACCCUGAUGCAGCGACGCCGCGUGAGUGAAGAAGUAUUUCGGUAUGUAAAGCUCUAUCAGCAGGGAAGAAAAUGACGGUACCUGAUCAAGAAGCCCCGGCUAACUACGUGCCAGCAGCCGCGGUAAUACGUAGGGGGCAAGCGUUAUCCGGAUUUACUGGGUGUAAAGGGAGCGUAGACGGCAGCGCAAGUCUGAAGUGAAAUGCCGGGGCUUAACCCCGGAACUGCUUUGGAAACUGUGCAGCUAGAGUGCAGGAGGGGUAAGUGGAAUUCCUAGUGUAGCGGUGGAAUGCGUAGAUAUUAGGAGGAACACCAGUGGCGAAGGCGGCUUACUGGACUGUAACUGACGUUGAGGCUCGAAAGCGUGGGGAGCAAACAGGAUUAGAUACCCGGGUAGUC